AAUAGAAUGGGCAAAAGUAGCAUUUAAAAAUUACUCAGUAGAGGAUUGUCAGAAAGUAUGGGCUCAGUUGUUGAAGAAAGUUAGACACUAGUUACAAGUUAGACAAUUAAACAAGUUAAAAAUUGAAAUAACCCAUGAUGAAGGCAAGUUAUUGAAAAUAUCGAUUUAAAGGCACAAUCCAAACAUCCAAAGGCAUCAACAGAAACACAUACAGGUAUGCCAAAAAGACCCUUAAGUUCUUACUUUCUCUUUUACAUUAGAAAAAAGGAUAAGAUUGCCGAAG